CAGCAGCCGCGGUAAUUCCAGCUCCAAUAGCGUAUAUUAAAGUUGUUGCAGUUAAAAAGCUCGUAGUUGAAUUUCGGGGUUAGUAGGUUGGUCAUGCCUCUGGUAUGUACUGGUCUCACUGAUUCCUCCUUCCUGAUGAGCCGUAAUGCCAUUAAUUUGGUGUUGCGGGGAAUUUGGACUGUUACUUUGAAAAAAUUAGAGUGUUUAAAGCAAGCUAACGCUUGAAUACAUUAGCAUGGAAUAAUGAAAUAGGACGUUCGAACCUAUUUUGUUGGUUUCUAGGAUCAACGUAAUGAUUAAUAGGGAUAGUUGGGGGCAUUAGUAUUCAAUUGUCAGAGGUGAAAUUCUUGGAUUUAUUGAAGACUAACUACUGCGAAAGCAUUUGCCAAGGAUGUUUUCAUUAAUCAAGAACGAAAAUUAGGGGAUCGAAGACGAUCAGAUACCGUCGUAGUCUUAACCAUAAACUAUGCCGACUAGGGAUCGGAUGAUGUUAAUUUUUUAAUGACUCAUUCGGCGCCUUACG
rnacentral:rRNA from 1 species